rnacentral:rRNA from 1 species
GACGAACGCUGGCGGCGUGCUUAACACAUGCAAGUCGAACGGAAAGGCCCUGCUUUUGUGGGGUGCUCGAGUGGCGAACGGGUGAGUAACACGUGAGUAACCUGCCCUUGACUUUGGGAUAACUUCAGGAAACUGGGGCUAAUACCGGAUAGGAGCUCCUGCUGCAUGGUGGGGGUUGGAAAGUUUCGGCGGUUGGGGAUGGACUCGCGGCUUAUCAGCUUGUUGGUUGGGUAUUGGCUUACCAAGUCUUUGACGGGUAGCCGGCCUGAGAGGGUGACCGGCGACAUUGGGACUGAGAGACGGCCCAGACUCCUACAGUAGGCAGCAGUGGGGAAUAUUGCACAAUGAUCGGAAGCCUGAUGCAGAAACGCCGCGAGCGGAAUGCCGGCCUACGGGUUGUAAACCGCUUUCGCCUGUGACGAAGCGUGAGUGACGGUAAUGGGUAAAGAAGCACCGGCUAACUACGUG